rnacentral:rRNA from 1 species
ACUCUAAGCGGUGGAUCACUCGGCUCAUGGGUCGAUGAAGAACGCAGCAAACUGUGCGUCAUCGUGUGAACUGCAGGACACAUGAACAUCGACAUUUUGAACGCAUAUCGCAGUCCAUGCUGUUAUGUACUUUAAUUAAUUUUAUAGUGCUGCUUGGACUACAUAUGGUUGAGGGUUGUAAGACUAUGCUAAUUAAGUUGCUUAUAAAUUUUUAUAAGCAUAUGGUAUAUUAUUGGAUAAAUAUAAUAAUUUUUAUUCAUAAUAUUAAAAAAUAAAUGAAAAACAUUAUCUCACAUUUGAAUGUGAAAAACGAAGAGAAAUAUUUUCUUUUUCAAUCAAAUAAUACUGAGAAAUGUCUAGCAUAAAAAAUUGAAAUAUUUUUCAUCUAGAAUUGUCUCUUAUUAAUGAUUCGGAAAUAGAAAAAUCUUGGUUAUGUUAUUAUUCUUCGUUGGUUCGUUAAAAAUGGAUAAAUAAAAACUUUGCAUACAAGAAUUAAUAAAAAUGUUAUAACGAAUUUAAUUAAAUGUUUUAUCAUUAUAUAUAAAGAAUUUAUGGCAAGAUAAAGUUAUAUACAACCUCAACUCAUAUGGGACUACCCCCUGAAUUUAAGCAUAUUAAUUAGGGGAGGAAAAGAAACUAACAAGGAUUUUCUUAGUAGCGGCGAGCGAAAAGAAAACAGUUCAGCACUAAGUCACUUUGUCUAUAUGGCAAAUGUGAGAUGCAGUGUAUGGAGCGUCAAUAUUCUAGUAUGAGAAAUUAACGAUUUAAGUCCUUCUUAAAUGAGGCCAUUUACCCAUAGAGGGUGCCAGGCCCGUAUAACGUUAAUGAUUACUAGAUGAUGUUUCCAAAGAGUCGUGUUGCUUGAUAGUGCAGCACUAAGUGGGUGGUAAACUCCAUCUAAAACUAAAUAUAACCAUGAGACCGAUAGUAAACAAGUACCGUGAGGGAAAGUUGAAAAGAACUCUGAAUAGAGAGUUAAACAGUACGUGAAACUGCUUAGAGGUUAAGCCCGAUGAACCUGAAUAUCCGUUAUGGAAAAUUCAUCAUUAAAAUUGUAAUAUUUAAAUAAUAUUAUGAGAAUAGUGUGCAUUUUUUCCAUAUAAGGACAUUGUAAUCUAUUAGCAUAUACCAAAUUUAUCAUAAAAUAUAACUUAUAGUUUAUUCCAAUUAAAUUGCUUGCAUUUUAACACAGAAUAAAUGUUAUUAAUUUGAUAAAGUGCUGAUAGAUUUAUAUGAUUACAGUGCGUUAAUUUUUCGGAAUUAUAUAAUGGCAUAAUUAUCAUUGAUUUUUGUGUUUAUUAUAUGCACUUGUAUGAUUAACAAUGCGAAAGAUUCAGGAUACCUUCGGGACCCGUCUUGAAACACGGACCAAGGAGUCUAACAUAUGUGCAAGUUAUUGGGAUAUAAACCUAAUAGCGUAAUUAACUUGACUAAUAAUGGGAUUAGUUUUUUAGCUAUUUAUAGCUAAUUAACACAAUCCCGGGGCGUUCUAUAUAGUUAUGUAUAAUGUAUAUUUAUAUUAUUUAUGCCUCUAACUGGAACGUACCUUGAGCAUAUAUGCUGUGACCCGAAAGAUGGUGAACUAUACUUGAUCAGGUUGAAGUCAGGGGAAACCCUGAUGGAAGACCGAAACAGUUCUGACGUGCAAAUCGAUUGUCAGAAUUGAGUAUAGGGGCGAAAGACCAAUCGAACCAUCUAGUAGCUGGUUCCUUCCGAAGUUUCCCUCAGGAUAGCUGGUGCAUUUUAAUAUUAUAUAAAAUAAUCUUAUCUGGUAAAGCGAAUGAUUAGAGGCCUUAGGGUCGAAACGAUCUUAACCUAUUCUCAAACUUUAAAUGGGUAAGAACCUUAACUUUCUUGAUAUGAAGUUCAAGGUUAUGAUAUAAUGUGCCCAGUGGGCCACUUUUGGUAAGCAGAACUGGCGCUGUGGGAUGAACCAAACGUAAUGUUACGGUGCCCAAAUUAACAACUCAUGCAGAUACCAUGAAAGGCGUUGGUUGCUUAAAACAGCAGGACGGUGAUCAUGGAAGUCGAAAUCCGCUAAGGAGUGUGUAACAACUCACCUGCCGAAGCAACUAGCCCUUAAAAUGGAUGGCGCUUAAGUUGUAUACCUAUACAUUACCGCUAAAGUAGAUGAUUUAUAUUACUUGUGAUAUAAAUUUUGAAACUUUAGUGAGUAGGAAGGUACAAUGGUAUGCGUAGAAGUGUUUGGCGUAAGCCUGCAUGGAGCUGCCAUUGGUACAGAUCUUGGUGGUAGUAGCAAAUAAUCGAAUGAGACCUUGGAGGACUGAAGUGGAGAAGGGUUUCGUGUGAACAGUGGUUGAUCACGAGUUAGUCGGUCCUAAGUUCAAGGCGAAAGCCGAAAAUUUUCAAGUAAAACAAAAAUGCCUAACUAUAUAAACAAAGCGAAUUAUAAUACACUUGAAUAAUUUUGAACGAAAGGGAAUACGGUUCCAAUUCCGUAACCUGUUGAGUAUCCGUUUGUUAUUAAAUAUGGGCCUCGUGCUCAUCCUGGCAACAGGAACGACCAUAAAGAAGCCGUCGAGAGAUAUCGGAAGAGUUUUCUUUUCUGUUUUAUAGCCGUACUACCAUGGAAGUCUUUCGCAGAGAGAUAUGGUAGAUGGGCUAGAAGAGCAUGACAUAUACUGUUGUGUCGAUAUUUUCUCCUCGGACCUUGAAAAUUUAUGGUGGGGACACGCAAACUUCUCAACAGGCCGUACCAAUAUCCGCAGCUGGUCUCCAAGGUGAAGAGUCUCUAGUCGAUAGAAUAAUGUAGGUAAGGGAAGUCGGCAAAUUAGAUCCGUAACUUCGGGAUAAGGAUUGGCUCUGAAGAUUGAGAUAGUCGGGCUUGAUUGGGAAACAAUAACAUGGUUUAUGUGCUCGUUCUGGGUAAAUAGAGUUUCUAGCAUUUAUGUUAGUUACUUGUUCCCCGGAUAGUUUAGUUACGUAGCCAAUUGUGGAACUUUCUUGCUAAAAUUUUUAAGAAUACUAUUUGGGUUAAACCAAUUAGUUCUUAUUAAUUAUAACGAUUAUCAAUUAACAAUCAAUUCAGAACUGGCACGGACUUGGGGAAUCCGACUGUCUAAUUAAAACAAAGCAUUGUGAUGGCCCUAGCGGGUGUUGACACAAUGUGAUUUCUGCCCAGUGCUCUGAAUGUCAAAGUGAAGAAAUUCAAGUAAGCGCGGGUCAACGGCGGGAGUAACUAU